CGGAUAACCUCGGUGUAGGCCAGUCCUGACUCAGCUAUCUAUAAAUGCCAUGCUCUGUGGUUUUCUACUAUAUUACGCAGACAUCCACAGAUGAAAUACAGCCCGUUCCUUGUCGAUUGGCCCCUUUGGAUCUCUACGCUAAGGAGCGGAGGAGGGAAACCAUGUAGGACCCAAGUGCACAGGACAAUCUGUCCAGUUUCCCAGAUGCUGAAUAAGCAGAGAUGCGUUGUCAGCGUUCACUCUGGAAUAUCGAAGGUGAAGGUAGGCUUUCAAGUGCUGUAAUGCCUUCACUGCAGACAAUGGAUCAAAUGGGGAAUCAAGAAAAUGCAGGCCUUUGAACCACCCACAAGCUGUACAUCAACUCACACAAUGUGUGCAACCGCUUGUCCCGAAUGGGGCCGCGGGGAACCGGAGCCUAACCCAGCAACACAGGGCACAGGGCUGGAGGGGACACACUCUGGGAAGAACGCCAGUCCAUUGCAAGGCACCCCAAGCGGGACUCGAAACCUAGACCCACCAGAGAGCAGCAUCCGGCCAAACCCGCUGCGCCACUGCGCCCCCCUCUUCUUCGACCUACGACUUGUCUCUCUGAUUUCGUCUUCGGAUUCUCCUUGUUGCCACUUCUGCGCCUCGGUGACCUUUGACUGUUUGUUUGGAUUUCCCUGAAUAAAACCACCCUUUGCACCGCGAUUGGGUCCGAUGCUUCCACUUUUGGUGGAAACCAUGACAAUGAGCAUAUUAUCAGUGGAAUGCGACAUUAAUACUAAUUACUAUAUUACUGCCAUAAAGCUGUUCUGUUCACUAUGGCAGAAAGUUUUUACAAGGCUCCCAUCACAUGAAGCCAGAUCAGGCCUUCUGGAGUAAAUUACCCUUAAAUAUAUAUUUAAGACUUUGUGGUGUAAACAUAACACACAGCAGAAUCAUUCAAAAUGCUGGAUGGAAACUGGGUCAUGCUGAGUCAUGUUCUUGCACAGUGCAUCAAGCCCUGAAUACAGUACUGUCAAAUGCAACAUUACUGAAACAGAGAAGGCCAUAGAAGAAUCCUUCCACAGACAAUAAAUCACUAAAAUUUUUGAAAAAAAGUGGGGAA
rnacentral:lncRNA from 1 species